UGAAGCUCCUUCGGGAACGGAUUUAGCGGCGGACGGGUGAGUAACACGUGGGCAACCUGCCUUUAUCAGGGGGAUAACGCAUCGAAAGAUGUGCUAAUACCGCGUAAGACCACAGCUUCACAUGGAGCGGGGGUCAAAGGAGCAAUCCAGAUAAAGAUGGGCUCGCGUCCGAUUAGCUAGUUGGUGAGAUAACAGCCCACCAAGGCGACGAUCGGUAGCCGACCUGAGAGGGUGAUCGGCCACAUUGGAACUGAGAGACGGUCCAGACUCC
rnacentral:rRNA from 1 species